GACGUAGGGCGCGAGCGUUUGUCCGGAUUUAUUGGGCGUAAAGAGCUCGUAGGCGGCUUGUUGCGUCGACUGUGAAAACCCGCGGCUUAACUGCGGGCUUGCAGUUGAUACGGGCAGGCUAGAGUUCGGUAGGGGAGACUGGAAUUCCUGGUGUAGCGGUGAAAUGCGCAGAUAUCAGGAGGAACACCAAUGGCGAAGGCAGCUCGCUGGGACGGUACUGACGCUGAGACGCGAAAGCGUGGGGAGCAAACAGG
rnacentral:rRNA from 1 species